rnacentral:snoRNA from 1 species
AACGCAAAUCACAGCCAGACGCAACCAGUUAUAGCAUCCUUCCGAGGCUGAGCCUUCAUUAUCGUGAAGCGUUCCUGGCCAUUGACAGUAAUCGGGUAUUUGGUUUGCUAGGAGUUAGGACAUUUGUUCUUUCUUUAUGUCACGUGCUGGACUGAAGAUUAAUWAUAUAGUCAAUCUUGGGUGCGGUGGAUCAUGCUAAAUAGCACUUUGCUACUUAUAAGGAUAUGCCUUCGUGCUUCCGUAUGGGAUUUACCGCAAGGAUUGGCAAUACAUUU